GGAAUAUUGCGCAAUGGGCGAAAGCCUGACGCAGCAACGCCGCGUGAGGGAUGAAGGCCUUCGGGUUGUAAACCUCCUUCAGCAGGGAAGAAGGGAAACUGACGGUACCUGCAGAAGAAGCACCGGCUAACUACGUGCCAGCAGCCGCGGUAAUACGUAGGGUGCAAGCGUUGUCCGGAUUUAUUGGGCGUAAAGAGCUCGUAGGCGGUUAGUCACGUCGGAUGUGAAAACCCGGGGCUUAACUCCGGGCCUGCAUUCGAUACGGGCUGACUCGAGUGUUGCAGGGGAGACUGGAACUCCUGGUGUAGCGGUGAAAUGCGCAGAUAUCAGGAAGAACACCGGUGGCGAAGGCGGGUCUCUGGGCAACUACUGACGCUGAGGAGCGAAAGCGUGGGGAGCAAACAGGAUUAGAUACCCUGGUAGUCCACGCCGUAAACGGUGGGCGCUAGGUGUGGGGAACCUUCCACGUUCUCCGUGCCGCAGCUAACGCAUUAAGCGCCCCGCCUGGGGAGUACGGCCGCAAGGCUAAAACUCAAAGGAAUUGACGGA
rnacentral:rRNA from 1 species